UGAUUUAAUUUGGAUCCAAUCAAGUUAGAUUUGACCUAGUAUUCCAUACUAUUAGAAUAAAUUAAGUUUUGUACUAUUUGCAAUUGAUUCACAUGAUUCUUCUCCAAUUAAUGAUAAACUCCAAUUCAUCUAUACAAUUUAAAUUGGCAUAUCAGUCCACUGAUUAAGUAAUCUGUUAUAUGGUAUGCUAUUGUCCCCUAGAUCUGAUAACAGGACCUUGUAAUGCAAAAUUAGAUUGGGAAAAACCAGAAUGUUUCUUCAUCUCCAUUUUUGCCGUACCUUGACUAAAGAAACGAACCAAUUGGGCACUAGAGUGGAGGAGAAGCCUCUGGACUUUGUUAAAUAGUUUUAUCUUCUGAUCAUGGAGGUAGUUUUAGGUUCCUUUUUUCAAUUGAGGCAAAGUUGUUUAUGGUCUCAAUUGAAGAUGGAGGUAAUUCUGUUGUAGAUAUCGAGUGCUAUCAGGGAUCUGGCUCUUGUGGACAUUGAUAUUUACGCAUAUCUGCUGUAGGUAAAGGUUUCAAAAUUACAUUCUUCUUACCAAGAAUAAAAUGAUAAGUAUUGGUACUCUCAUAAUGCUAAACAUGUCUAUCAUAAAGUCAAGGUCGGCCUAAGAAUACGUGUCAACAUGUUGUUCUGGUGGUGUUACUUAAAUUGGGAGAGUAUAAUUCUCAGGGAACCAGUUUGAUCCAAUAGAAACAAAGUUUGAAAGUGCUAAACAGGCCAUUUAAACAGGCCAUCUUAUGAUUUGAAUUGUCCAGUCAACGUAUUAAGUGGUGCACUAAUGUGGUUAAUGAUAUCAGUAAACAUGGUGUGUUGAUGUAAGUUAUGAUAUCAGCACAGAGAUAACAGAGAUAAUGUCGUGUUUACCAAUGUGAAGAUAAUGUCGUGUUUACCAAUGUGAGGCUAAUGUGUCUUGUUGACAUAAACAAUGAUAUGCGAAUACUUUUUGGGUCAUGGGUUGAGAUUGAGUUGCCAAACCAGUCUUUUGACUCAUCGUGUUAGCAAUAGUGAUAUGGCCAAAACUAUGAUUGGGAAAAGAAAUUAUUUUGUAUGAUGGCUACAUGUUAAUAUUGUAUCAUAUUUUUGUUGAUAACUUGAUAAAAAUUUUACUAUGAAUUUUAUUGGUGAACUUCAAUUUUUGCAAGUUAUUAAUAGAAAGAUAAUACCAUGUAGUGUCUGCUUGUUACAUAAAAUGAUUUCUUGAUAAGGAAACACCACAACUGAUGGGUUUUUCAGUAAAUGGAAGGAAUAACAGCUGCUAUGAUGUGAAACAUAGGGUCAGUGUGUUCAUUAGGAAAAGCUUUUUUAUAUGAGAAAUUGUAGGAGACCUGUCAGCAGCAAGAGGUGGUGGUGACAGUGAUCACCCAGGAAGCAAGUCUUAUAUCAACUUGAAAUAAGAAUAACAUGGAGAAUUAUAUUUACGGAUUACAUAUUCAUAGAGUUGUUUGUACAUCCCUAUAUAUUGAAGAAUAUAUUUGAAAUAGGUAUAAUCAGCCUAUGAUCGUGAAAUCACAAAAUCAUCUUGUGACUGCUACAGUUACUCUAUGAUUGCUUUAAUCAUGCAUGCAAUAUGUUAACAAUACUGAAUGCCUAUGUUAAUUCCAUAUUCUUCCAUAUCAUGCAAUUUGUUAACGUACUAAAUGCUUAUAUUAAUUUCCUGUUCUUUCCUAUCAGGCUGAAGCUAGACAUAGUGAGAUACUGGGUCAACUUCUUUAUGCCACCAAAAUAGUGGCUGAGAAAGAAGGUAUCACUGAAGGAUUUCGUAUUGUCAUUAACAAUGGUCCUGAUGCCUGUCAAUCUGUUUACCACCUCCAUUUGCAUGUUCUCGGCAGACGGCAGAUGAAAUGGCCACCUGGUUAAGGUUCUGGAACAAAAAUUUCCCUCUAUGCACCUUUUUUCUUUCUUUCAGUUCAGUUCAGUUCAGUUCAACAUCUAUUUUACCCAAAUUAGAAGCAAACGUUGUUAAAUUUUUUGUAAUUGCCAUUUUCAGUAUAGAGCUGUAUAAUUGGCGAUAAAAUUAAUGGAUGUUUUUGUUGUUAGAAAGACAAGAAAUUCUGAUAUUUAUACUUGAAUCGCUGCUUAUCGCAAUAAAUCCGCCAAAA